rnacentral:rRNA from 1 species
GAUGAACGCUGACAGAAUGCUUAACACAUGCAAGUCAACUUGAAUUUGGGUUUUUAACUUAGGUUUGGGUGGCGGACGGGUGAGUAACGCGUAAAGAACUUGCCUCACAGCUAGGGACAACAUUUGGAAACGAAUGCUAAUACCUAAUAUUAUGAUAAUAGGGCAUCCUAUAAUUAUGAAAGCUAUAAGCGCUGUGAGAGAGCUGUGCGUCCCAUUAGCUAGUUGGAGAGGUAACGGCUCACCAAGGCGAUGAUGGGUAGCCGGCCUGAGAGGGUGAUCGGCCACAAGGGGACUGAGACACGGCCCUUACUCCUACGGGAGGCAGCAGUGGGGAAUAUUGGACAAUGGACCAAGAGUCUGAUCCAGCAAUUCUGUGUGCACGAUGAAGUUUUUCGGAAUGUAAAGUGCUUUCAGUUGGGAAGAAAGAAAUGACGGUACCAACAGAAGAAGUGACGGCUAAAUACGUGCCAGCAGCCGCGGUAAUACGUAUGUCACGAGCGUUAUCCGGAUUUAUUGGGCGUAAAGCGCGUCUAGGUGGUUAUGUAAGUCUGAUGUGAAAAUGCAGGGCUCAACUCUGUAUUGCGUUGGAAACUGUAUAACUAGAGUACUGGAGAGGUAAGCGGAACUACAAGUGUAGAGGUGAAAUUCGUAGAUAUUUGUAGGAAUGCCGAUGGGGAAGCCAGCUUACUGGACAGAUACUGACGCUGAAGCGCGAAAGCGUGGGUAGCAAGCAGG